GUAUCAUGGCUCAGAUUGAACGCUGGCGGCAUGCUUUACACAUGCAAGUCGAACGGCAGCACAGGGAGCUUGCUCCCGGGUGGCGAGUGGCGCACGGGUGAGUAAUACAUCGGAACGUGUCCUGUUGUGGGGGAUAACUGCUCGAAAGGUGGCUAAUACCGCAUGAGACCUGAGGGUGAAAGCGGGGGAUCGCAAGACCUCGCGCAAUUGAAGCGGCCGAUGCCCGAUUA
rnacentral:rRNA from 1 species